CCUACGGGAGGCAGCAGUGGGGAAUCUUGCGCAAUGGGCGAAAGCCUGACGCAGCCAUGCCGCGUGAAUGAUGAAGGUCUUAGGAUUGUAAAAUUCUUUCACCGGGGACGAUAAUGACGGUACCCGGAGAAGAAGCCCCGGCUAACUUCGUGCCAGCAGCCGCGGUAAUACGAAGGGGGCUAGCGUUGCUCGGAAUUACUGGGCGUAAAGGGAGCGUAGGCGGAUAGUUUAGUCAGAGGUGAAAGCCCAGGGCUCAACCUUGGAAUUGCCUUUGAUACUGGCUAUCUUGAGUAUGGGAGAGGUAUGCGGAACUCCGAGUGUAGAGGUGAAAUUCGUAGAUAUUCGGAAGAACACCAGUGGCGAAGGCGGCAUACUGGCCCAUUACUGACGCUGAGGCUCGAAAGCGUGGGGAGCAAACAGGAUUAGAUACCCUGGUAGUCCACGCUGUAAACGAUGAGUGCUAGUUGUCGGCAUGCAUGCAUGUCGGUGACGCGAGCUACGCAUAAGCACUCCGCCGUGGGGAGGUACGGUCGCGAAGUAGUUAAACUUACGAAAGUAAGUUAGACGGCGUUGAGACGUGCCGACGGACGACGACGAGGGGAGGUUAGG
rnacentral:rRNA from 1 species